UCGCCGUUCCUCCCGCCCCAACUUCGCGAUCCGUCCGCGGUUCCUCUCGUUCCCCUGUGUGCCCUGCCCCUGCAUUGAAGAUGACGCCGCCGUUCCGCAAGAGUCGAGAUCGAUCCGUCCUCCCGUCGUCGUCGAUCCUCCUCCGGCCUGCCUUCCGAUAUCAGGAGGCACUGCAUCGCCAUCUACCCGUGCUGCAGAAGGAGCGAAGGGAAGGCAACGCAAAGCAACCUCUCUGUGUGGCUUGGAGGAAGAGCUCCCGAGGCCUCAAGGGGCACGCAGGGAGAAGCUCAAGACCUUCUUGUAGUUACUGAUGAGCUGGACAGUUGGGUCGCCGGCGACGAGCGCCUACUAGAUGUCCUUGUGCACUGCUGCAGUUAUGUUGCGGGUGUGUGCUUCGCCAACACAUGGAGCCCUGGACUCGCUGCUAGCUACAUGAUUUCUUUGCGUCCUCACCACUUCAGCCGGAUUUGUGCUCUGCUGCUUCAUCGUUCCAUUACACUCGAAUGUACCACCAGCCGGUAUGCCAAUGAUCAGCUCACACUGGGCAUCAUCUUCCAUAACCUGAAUGAAUGCCUCACUGAUGCCUCCGGUGCUGAGAUGCCAUAGGCUGUUUCCCCUCUCCCUCGAUCCUGCAACCUGGACUCCUACAUGAAAGUGGCAUCUGGGGAAGCAGAAAUCGGAAUUGUCAUCCGUGACCUUCUGGUCAGUGUCAAGCUAACAGCAUGGCAGACAAUGUUCGACGCUUCGAAUGCCGAGGAGAUGGAAGCUUUGGUAUGUAAAGAGGGCAUUGGCCUGGCUGCUGAAUGGUUCCAGGAGCCAGUUAUGGAACCAGACUGCACGAUUGCCAUCCAAUAUUUGAAGGAGGUGAAGGUCUUGAAGCCUGUGUGUCUCUCCAUCAUUCAGGAGGCUUCUCAUGUGGCUAGUAGAUUGCCAGGUUUUGAGUUGAAUCAUGUAAAGAGAUAGGAAUUCAGUAGCCGAUGAUCUUGCACAAAUGGCGAAGUGUCUGAACCACAGUGCUAUGUGGUGAGGCUGUUAUCAUGCCUGUACUAAGCAGCUGAUUGCUCUUGUUUGUAACACUUCCAUGAGUAAUCAAUAAAAUCUCGAGUAUGUUUUAUGGUU